rnacentral:ribozyme from 14 species
AUUUUUUUUUUUUGCAUUUUUUUAAAAAUUAUUUUUGUUAAGUAGUUUUUUUUUGUAAAAAGGGGGCUCUUGCUGUUAAAAACAACAGAACAGCAACAAGGGUGCGGCGGUGUUUAUCAAUGGAAGAGGACAGAAUGUUGAUUUGUGCCAUUGAGCAUUAUUAUUUCCCUCUUCCUCCUUCUGAAAAUAGUUCUGCA